CACCUGAAGCGCGUCGCGCCUCCUGCAGGCGUCCGUCUGCGGCUCGGCGGGGUGUCGCUGGAAGACGUGGAGCUGCUCUCUGCACGCCGCCUCGAGCCUUUCUGACGGCGCUCAGGACGUCCAUGAGAGAAACAUUGAAGCUGAUUGAAACCGUCUCCUCAAGAUCCUGAAGGUCUCUGAACACGUUUGGCUUUGGCUCGCCUCACAAAUCCACAACGCAAACAGCGGCGGCCGCGUCGGACCGGCUGCCGACACGUCUGCUCAGCGGCUGUUUAUUUAAACCUGCGCGGCCCCUUGCCGGGGGGGGGGGCUCCUCGGGGGCCUCCUCGGGGCCCCCCGGCUUGUUUGAGAAUCCGUUCACACCUGGGGCUUAAAUUACUGACACUAACAAUGCAAGAAAU
ensembl:lncRNA